AGAGGCUUGUACUGACACCUCUGCAAAACCACGUCACAUUCCUUGUUUAUCUCUCUCUCUCCUCAGUCCCCUCAUCUCUUUCACACACACACUCUCAUCCGUAUUUUCCUCUCUCAGAUUCCAAUAUAUCUCUCUUGCGAUCAAAAUAUUUAUAGCGAUUUUACUUUUACUAUCUGUUAUAAUUAACUGGAAAUCGUGUGGAAGAAACCCUAGCCUCGUCAACAAAACCCUAAUUUUACUAUUUUGUGAUCAAUUACGCCAGAAAAGCGUUUAAAUUUUUAGGGGUUUUUGUGUGGUGGUCCGUCAAAUAGCAGAACAACAAGGACUGGAAAUUGGCCAGAAGGAGUAGUAGGACAUGGAAGGAAUUCCGCAUCCGAUACCGAGAACCGUAGAGGAAGUCUACAACGAUUUCAAAGGCCGUCGAGCUGGCCUCAUCAAAGCACUCACAACAGGUCUUUCCUUUUCUUUUUUCAUUAUCUUCGUAAUUAUAUAUAUGUGUGUGUGUGUGUGUGUGUGUAUUUAUUAUAUAUGUAUUGUAUGUGUGUAUAUACAUACGUGUUCGCAGUUUUGACAUAUAUUUGUAUGUUCAUAAUUACUUGCAUAUUAUAGUGUACUGGAAUUUGUUUUUUUUGAAUAAUUCUGACGUAUAUAAUUUUUGUGCAGAUGUUGAGGAAUUUUAUCAGCAGUGCGAUCCUGGUGAGACUUUUUGAUCUAUUGUGGACUUUUGAUUAUUGGUGUCUUUGAGUGUUUUCCUGUGUUUCUACUUGUAUUUUUUAUUUUUUUUUGGUGGUCGAAUAUUAUUCUCCUGUGUUACUUAGGCAUUGCUUUUUAACAUUAUCUACUCAUUCAGGAUAUUAGCUCAGUGUUUUAGACAUUUUUGCUUUUUAAUUAUGCUGUUCACAAGACUGGUAGCUUAAGCCAUGUGUUGAACUGGAGGUGAAUGUGAAC
rnacentral:lncRNA from 1 species